GACGGGUGAGUAACGCGUGGGUAACCUGCCUUGCACUGGGGGAUAACACUUAGAAAUAGGUGCUAAUACCGCAUAACAGUAGGAGACGCAUGUCUUUUACUUGAAAACUCCGGUGGUGUAAGAUGGACCCGCGUCUGAUUAGCUUGUUGGCGGGGUAACGGCCCACCAAGGCAACGAUCAGUAGCCGGCCUGAGAGGGUGAACGGCCACAUUGGGACUGAGACACGGCCCAAACUCCUACGGAAGGCAGCAG
rnacentral:rRNA from 1 species